rnacentral:rRNA from 1 species
AGUGAACGCUGGCGGUAGGCCUAACACAUGCAAGUCGAACGGCAGCACAGUAAGAGCUUGCUCUUACGGGUGGCGAGUGGCGGACGGGUGAGGAAUACAUCGGAAUCUACUUUUUCGUGGGGGAUAACGUAGGGAAACUUACGCUAAUACCGCAUACGACCUACGGGUGAAAGCAGGGGAUCUUCGCACCUUGCGCGAUUGAAUGAGCCGAUGUCGGAUUAGCUAGUUGGCGGGGUAAAGGCCCACCAAGGCGACGAUCCGUAGCUGGUCUGAGAGGAUGAUCAGCCACACUGGAACUGAGACACGGUCCAGACUCCUACGGGAGGCAGCAGUGGGGAAUAUUGGACAAUGGGCGCAAGCCUGAUCCAGCCAUACCGCGUGGGUGAAGAAGGCCUUCGGGUUGUAAAGCCCUUUUGUUGGGAAAGAAAAGCAGCAGGUUAAUACCCCGCUGUUCUGACGGUACCCAAAGAAUAAGCACCGGCUAACUUCGUG